rnacentral:rRNA from 1 species
AGAGUUUGAUCAUGGCUCAGAUUGAACGCUGGCGGCAGGCUUAACACAUGCAAGUCGAGCGGAGAUGAGGUGCUUGCACCUUAUCUUAGCGGCGGACGGGUGAGUAAUGCUUAGGAAUCUGCCUAUUAGUGGGGGACAACAUUCCGAAAGGGAUGCUAAUACCGCAUACGUCCUACGGGAGAAAGCAGGGGAUCUUCGGACCUUGCGCUAAUAGAUGAGCCUAAGUCGGAUUAGCUAGUUGGUGGGGUAAAGGCCUACCAAGGCGACGAUCUGUAGCGGGUCUGAGAGGAUGAUCCGCCACACUGGGACUGAGACACGGCCCAGACUCCUACGGGAGGCAGCAGUGGGGAAUAUUGGACAAUGGGGGGAACCCUGAUCCAGCCAUGCCGCGUGUGUGAAGAAGGCCUUAUGGUUGUAAAGCACUUUAAGCGAGGAGGAGGCUACUGAGACUAAUACUCUUGGAUAGUGGACGUUACUCGCAGAAUAAGCACCGGCUAACUCUGUGCCAGCAGCCGCGGUAAUACAGAGGGUGCGAGCGUUAAUCGGAUUUACUGGGCGUAAAGCGUGCGUAGGCGGCUUUUUAAGUCGGAUGUGAAAUCCCCGAGCUUAACUUGGGAAUUGCAUUCGAUACUGGGAAGCUAGAGUAUGGGAGAGGAUGGUAGAACUCCAGGUGUAGCGGUGAAAUGCGUAGAGAUCUGGAGGAAUACCGAUGGCGAAGGCAGCCAUCUGGCCUAAUACUGACGCUGAGGUACGAAAGCAUGGGGAGCAAACAGGAUUAGAUACCCCGGUAGUCCAA